GAUCUUUAUUUUUAAUAUUUAUAAAUUAAAAAGAAUUUUAUUAUUUAUAUUUUAUUUAAAAAUUUUAUUGGGGUGAUAUUAAAAUUUAAACAACUUUUAAAUUUGAUUAACAUUAAUAUAUGAAUUUAUGAUCCAAUUUUAUUGAUUAAAAAUUUAAGUUACCUUAGGGAUAACAGCGUAAUUUUUUUUUAGAGUUCAUAUCGAUAAAAAAGAUUGC
rnacentral:rRNA from 1 species